CAUAGUGAAUAAAGGCGUCUUCGUCAACCAUGAAGGCGCCUUUAGCGUAAGAGUUCAAUAGCGUCGCAUCUCUUUUUUCUAUUUUUUUAACAUGUCAGGUCAGCUAAUGGAUGAAAAAAGUACUAUUAAAGAUUCAAACAAAAUAUUCACUAAUGAAUGAUGAAAGAUUUGGGAGGAGAGGAGAUGGCGAUUGUGGGGUGGGAAACUCGGCUUGGGAGGAGAUGAGACGAUGAAUGCAGGAGAGAGAGAAGAAGAGAGAAAGAUGGCAGUCAUGGGAAGGGG
rnacentral:lncRNA from 1 species